rnacentral:lncRNA from 1 species
UUUAAAGCCCAAAUUGUUAUGUAUAGAGAAAAAUUAUUAUAUACGAAUCAACUACCAUUAUGAAUGGUCUUAUACAAUUUGUCAAGCCUCCAUAUGACUUCCUUCUAUUAAUUGUCAAAUCAUUUUUAUGCCAUUUGUAACAUAUAAUCUUUAGUUUACCUAUGUGUAUAAAAUUUGGGACUCACUUAAAUUGUUCUUGAGCUUCCGCACAACUUUAUCAUGAUCGACCUCAAUUUUGGAAAAACAUAUAUAACAAAUUAGGUUCAGUUUCUUUCUCGAUUUCUCUAAAGGCCCAAAAUAUUUAUGUCGGUUCUUUAGAAAUUAAUCUCUAUUAGCACAAACUUCUCAAAAAUCAAGUAGUUGUGCAUAUAGGGAGAGUAUAAAUGUAAUGGUUACAUACAAUGCUUUACACAAAAAUACAAUGCUUUACACAACAAUACUAGCAUCACAAAGCUAACAAUAAAAGAAGAUCUUGGCAUUCCAAUUUUGUUGUACACAAGUCGAAAUCGAAACAAUGUAAAGACAUAAGUUAGAAUAUCUCUUAAUCGAAAUCGAAACAAUGUAAAGACAUAAGUUAGAAUAUCUCUUAAUCGAAAUCGAAACAAUGUAAAGACAUAAGUUAGAAUAUCUCUUAAUCGAAAUCGAAACAAUGUAAAGACAUAAGUUAGAAUAUCUCUUAAUCGUAAGACUUAUAAACAUCCUAUAACAUGGAAUACUAACUUUUGUUGUCGAGUCAAGGUCCAAAUCUCAUUCUAACUUUCAAAGCAUCU